rnacentral:rRNA from 1 species
ACCCUCGGGUGACAGGGAGACAGGUGGUGCAUGGUUGUCGUCAGCUCGUAUCGUGAGAUGUUGGUUAAGUCCGCAACGAGCGCAACCCUACGUUUAGUUGCUAACGCGUGAAGGCGAGCACUCUAGACGAACUGCGUUGACAAACGGAGGAAGUGGGGAUGACGUCAAAUCAUCAUGCCCCUUAUGUUCUGGGCUACACACGUGCUACAAUGGCCGGUACAGACGGACGCAAAGCCGCGAGGUGGAGCAAAUCCUAAAAAGCCGGUCUCAGUUCGGAUUGCGGGCUGCAAUUCGCCUGCAUGAAGUCGGAAUCGCUAGUAAUCGCAGGUCAGCAUACUGCGGUGAAUACGUUCCCGGGCCUU